GGGAAUAUAGUUCAGUUGGUGGAGUACUUGCCUGGCAUGCAGAAGGUCCUGGGUUCAAUCCCCAGUACCA
rnacentral:tRNA from 1 species